rnacentral:rRNA from 1 species
GAUGAACGCUAGCGGCAGGCUUAACACAUGCAAGUCGAGGGGUAUGCUUCUUCGGAAGCAGAGACCGGCGCACGGGUGCGUAACGCGUAUGCAAUCUACCUUUCACAGAGGGAUAGCCCAGAGAAAUUUGGAUUAAUACCUCAUAGUAUAGCAGUUUCGCAUGAAACCACUAUUAAAGUCACAACGGUGAAAGAUGAGCAUGCGUCCCAUUAGCUAGUUGGUAAGGUAACGGCUUACCAAGGCAACGAUGGGUAGGGGUCCUGAGAGGGAGAUCCCCCACACUGGUACUGAGACACGGACCAGACUCCUACGGGAGGCAGCAGUGAGGAAUAUUGGACAAUGGGCGCAAGCCUGAUCCAGCCAUGCCGCGUGCAGGAUGACGGUCCUAUGGAUUGUAAACUGCUUUUGUACAGGAAGAAACACCUCUACGUGUAGAGACUUGACGGUACUGUAAGAAUAAGGAUCGGCUAACUCCGUGCCAGCAGCCGCGGUAAUACGGAGGAUCCAAGCGUUAUCCGGAAUCAUUGGGUUUAAAGGGUCCGUAGGCGGUCAGAUAAGUCAGUGGUGAAAGCCCAUCGCUCAACGGUGGAACGGCCAUUGAUACUGUCUGACUUGAAUUAUUAGG